GGAAGGGUGGCCGAGUGGUUUAAGGCACCGGUCUUGAAAACCGGCGUGCCCGUAAGGGUACCGUGGGUUCGAAUCCCACCCCUUCCG
rnacentral:tRNA from 1 species